rnacentral:lncRNA from 1 species
AACAGAACUCAGUUUCUAGAUACUCUGAUGAAGCCAAUGGGUCCAGUGGCUACAAAUUGCAAAGAGUUUUGCUCCUUUACAUGUCAUAAUUGAAAUGGUUCUAUUUCAUUGCUUUAUGUUUCUAGUGUUCUGGCACUCUUGAUUGCUGGUAACUAAUCAGUGGUGAUUGUGUGCUACAAUUUGCUUAAAAGAUCCAGGGUGAAUAUCAUAGCAUACGAAAUAGAUGAAGUUUUCUCUCUUAGGAUCAUGCUACAGGCUUCAAUCUUAUCAAACACUCCUUAUCAGAUCCCUGGAAUCAACCUUUCUAAAUCAGCAGCGAAUGGAUUAAAAAUAUGGACAGUCCAGUAGAAGAUGGAUGAAAAUUGCUGGGCAAGCAUUACCAAAAAAAAAAAAAAAAAAGAAAAAAAAAGAAAAAAUCUAGUUCAAGAUAUUAUCAUCAAGUAAGUUUGUAUAUAAGAUAAAUUUAUUAAAUGACACUAAGAGAGGGUACUAUAAAAUGACAAAAGAUGAAAUCCACAGUGAAGAUUAGAAAUGACAUAAUCCUUAAAAACCUACCGUUAUAAAAUAUAGGAAAUAUAAAAACAAAACUUGCAGUAAUACAAUAGAAAUAAAAAUUAACUUGCCUCUGUCA